CGAGUAUCUAACCGUAUUCCCUCUCUCUUCGCCCGCCAGACGAACUAGCUCUCUCCCUCUCCCUCUCCCUCUCUAGCUCCUGAUUUCUCUCCUCCGAAAUGGGCCUUGAUAGACCACCGUGCAUUGGAAGGAAAUUCCCACCAGCGGUGGAAAGACCCAUCACAGCCCCUGCAUAUCGCCUAAAUUGCAACUCGUUUCCUACCCACUGCAACUCCCGACCGCCCGUCUGAACCCAUCACCGAACCCUCUAGCCAAAUUGCAACCUUGCCGAUCAUCUUCCCCGUUGUUGGUCUCAACCAUUGCUGCAAACUCGCGCUCAAACCACCUGCGAAUCGCCCCUACCGUGGCCGAUACUAGAAGCUGAAACCUCUGCCCUGCACAAUCCCCCUGCCAAUCGCACCCAAACCCCCUGCCAAUCGCGUCCAAACCCCCUUCCAUUCACGGCCAAACCUCCUGUCAAUCUCCCUUCCAUUCACGCCCGCACCCCCAUUGCCGCACCUGAAGCAUCUUUUUCACCUGCUCGAUCUCGAUCUCGAUCCGAUGACCCAUUGUCGCUGCCACUGCCGCCCAGAUUUCAUUCUGCCACUGCCUUAGCUACUACCAUCCCGACCCUAUUAAUCCCGAUCUGUUGUGCCACCGCCACUGCCACUCGACUCCAUCUUCUCCCCUGUUAGGGUUGACACCGCUGCCCUCAUUGUCGAUUAAGAGUUUCUGCAAACUUUCGAGAGGAGGUUGCCAAUCACAAUCCAGUUCAGAUCGUUGGUCAUUCACUUCAGAUCUCUGGCCAUCCAGUGCAGAUUGAAGCUCACUUCAGAUCAUUGGUCAUCCAGUGCAGAUUGCAGCUCACUUCAGAUGCAGAUUACAACAGAUUUCGAUAACAAGUUACAGCAGAUUUCUAUGGCAGAUUGGUUUAGAUGGAAUUCGUAUGCUUGACCCCAAUACUAACCGGACACUAAGAAUAUAUCCACUUGAAAUAGUGACAAGAUGGGAAGUAAAUGAGCCAUCUACCUAUACUUUUUGGGCUAAAAGCCCUGUUUACAUUGAACCAAGGCGCAUAAUGUUGCAAUGAAACAGCCAUACUGAUACCACAAAUACCAUUCUUGACACUGUUACAGCGGCAACUAUUCAAUUCAGGUCCUCUCGUUCAUUGCACUUCUUUCACCUUUAUAUUUGUGGAAAUAAAGUUUUUUUUGUUUGCAGGAGCUGCUUUUAGUCAUUGCAAGAGGUUCGCCUUUGACUUCGGCCACCGUAGCAAGAUGAGAUAUGGGGGAGGUUCUGAGUUGGUGAUUGUUGACAAAUUUGGACUCUAGAUCAUCUUUUUAUGGAUUUGAAGGUGGCGAGACAAGAAGAGUUUAGCCUAAUUAAUACAUAUACUCAGUGGGUAGAUUAACUCAUGCAUGUGGUUGCUGAUUUCAUUAAUCAAGUGAGGGUACUUCAAUGUGGAGGGGAUUUGGAGACCAUAGUUAGAGAGUAAAAACACAAAUGCGAAGGUGUGUAUUCCUCACCAGCAAUGGGUGGCCUUGCUAGUGAAGACACCAAUGGUUGUAUUAUUCAAUUGUUGGAAUGCAAUAGAGAGACUAGAGUUAAUGUAGAAAUUAUGGAAUUAUGUGGUCAUUCGCAUCUAGACAACUUUAUGGAUUGGCUAAGUUGGAGAAAUGGCUUGAAUACAUGUAAAAUCAUCAAUAAUUGAAGGGUUAAAGUGGUCACUGUUGUUAUUACACAUUAGCAUUAGGGGAGGAUCUUCAAGCUAAAUGAAUCCGUCAAGGUAAGGGGAAAAUAAUUUCUGGAAAAAAGAUGAAGAAAUUAGAAGGGUGUUCUUAUACGUGAUUUAUUCCCAUGACCUUUGUCAAAGAUGUAAUCUUUGUCGAGGAAAUAAAUUGUUGUAUGGAUGUUUGGAUGAAUUCUAUACAUUGACAUCACGAAUGAGGUUUUACAAGUAUGAAGACCAUAAAAUUUUAAUUUUCAUAAUAACGAAUUUCAAUUUUCAUUAUAUCACAAUGGUCUUAAUUAGGGUAUAUGGAUAACGUGUUUAAAAUGUCUGACGCAUACGUACUUGCAUUAAAAGCAAAGGAAACUAAGUGGGGACUUGGGAGAUGAUUUUAUGUCAGCUGAGGACCAUCAUCAACAAGGUGCAACAAGUUAACUUCCCUCCCAAGGCAACCACACAACAUUCCAUAGGUUGAGGACGGGAAUCAGCUAUGCAAAGCUAACAAAUCUUCCUCCAAUUAUCGGGCUGAGUCACUACUUUCUUCUGUUUCUUUCAAACUUGAUUUCUGUAGAAGAUCUAAAGUCAUUUUUUUUUUUUUUUCUGAAUUGGAUGUAUAGAUUCAAUUUUUGUCCCACCAUUGGUAUAUUCUAUUCUUGGGAGCUCAAGAGAUCUUGCAGUGGGCCCCGUUUCAAUUGUGUCUUUGGUCAUGCUCAGAGGGAUGGUUUCUCCUGUCACUAUUUUGUCUAAUUCAGGUUUUUGUAGAAUGGGUUUGUCUGAAUUUUUUGUUUUUCUAUAAAUUUGAUAAUGUAAUAACCUUUGU